rnacentral:rRNA from 1 species
UGAACGCUGGCGGCGUGCCUAAUACAUGCAAGUCGAGCGAACAGACGAGGAGCUUGCUCCUCUGACGUUAGCGGCGGACGGGUGAGUAACACGUGGAUAACCUACCUAUAAGACUGGGAUAACUUCGGGAAACCGGAGCUAAUACCGGAUAAUAUAUUGAACCGCAUGGUUCAAUAGUGAAAGACGGUUUUGCUGUCACUUAUAGAUGGAUCCGCGCCGCAUUAGCUAGUUGGUAAGGUAACGGCUUACCAAGGCAACGAUGCGUAGCCGACCUGAGAGGGUGAUCGGCCACACUGGAACUGAGGCACGGUCCAGACUCCUACGGGAGGCAGCAGUAGGGAAUCUUCCGCAAUGGGCGAAAGCCUGACGGAGCAACGCCGCGUGAGUGAUGAAGGUCUUCGGAUCGUAAAACUCUGUUAUUAGGGAAGAACAAAUGUGUAAGUAACUAUGCACGUCUUGACGGUACCUAAUCAGAAAGCCACGGCUAACUACGUG